rnacentral:rRNA from 1 species
CCUACGGGUGGCAGCAGUGAGGAAUAUUGUCAAUGGCCGGAAGGCUGAACCAGCCAUGCCGCGUGACGGUCAGUGCCCUUUGGGCGUUAAACUUCUUUUGUGCGGGAGCAAUAAUGGUCACGUGUGGCCAGACGAGAGUACCGUACGAAUAAGCAUCGGCUCACUCUGUGCCAGCAGCCGCGGUAAUACGGGGGAUGCAAGCGUUAUCCGGAUUUAUUGGGGUUAAAGGGUGCGUAGGCUGUGAGGUAAGUCAGCGUGGAAAAGCCCCCGCGCAACGGGGUGAAGUGCCAUUGAUACUGCCUUGCUGGAAUGCGGAUGCCGUAGGAGGAAUGUGUGGUGUAGCGGUGAAAUGCAUAGAGAUCACACAGAACACCGAUUGCGAAGGCAUCUCACGAAGCCGCGGUUGACGCUGAUGCACGAAAGCGUGGGUAUCAAACAGGAUUAGAUACCCGGGUAGUC